GGGGCACGGAUGAGAAGAGGAGCUGAGGUGGAGCGGUGGUGCAGGGUGCUGCGAUCUGGCGUCGGUUGGCGACUGGCGCGACACCGGGUCGAGCGUCGCGCAGGGUAUGUCGGUUGGACGCAGAGGUGGUCGGGGUAGGUCUUGGCACGGCUGGGCCUUGUGCUCGCUGCGCUGGAGGCGCGCCUCCCUCGAGCACAGGAACAGGAGGCAGGCGACGAGCUACAGGAGCUCCAUGCUGGAGGUCAUCGCAGGUUGGGCGGCCCCGGAUCGGGUAGAGGAGGUGGAGGGCGCGCAGAUCCCGUAGGGAGGCGCCGGAUCUGGCCAGUGGAGGUCACGUGGCGGCGUUCGAACCUCGAGCUCGAGGACUGGGCAUCCAUGGCCCUGGCACUGAUCUCCUGGAGACAAGGAGAUAAAAGGAGAUUAGAGAGAGAGGGGAAAGAGAGAAGGCAGGGGAGCGGCGGCGUGACCUGGGUGGUCGCCGGCAACGGCGCCGGUCGCCGGACGACGCGCGAGGGAGGCAGAGGAGGAGGCGCACGGGAGGAGGAGCUCAGGGUCGGGCGCUGGUGGUGGCGGCGUACCGGCGGCGACAGCACUCGGGCCUGGGCGGGCCGGAUUUCUCACUUUAACCGCAGAUUGAAUUUCGAAUACCGCA
rnacentral:rRNA from 1 species